UCACCCACCUAUGCUGGAAUGCUUGGCGGGUCAAACGGCGCGCGAAUCGGAGCGCGUCCGCCAUAGGAUUGGACUGCGGCUGAUCAGGUAGUUGGUGGGGUAACGAAGCGAACGGGCAGGUUUUUUGGAAGGCCCGUUUGCCUUGCAGGCCCACCAAGCCGAUUAUCAGUAGGGGCAAUGGGAGUUGGAGCCCCGAGAAGGGCACUGAGACAAACGCGGGAGGACCUGUUUUUAGAUGGUCGUCCUGCGGUUCAAGGGCCCUAGUCCUACGGGAUGCAGCAGGCGCGAAACCUUUGCAAACGCGAGGCGGGCUGUUUUUAGAUGGCCGUCCCGCGGUUAAAUGCGCGCAAGCGUGACAGGGGAAUUCCGAGUGGCAGCAGCUCAAUGCUAGCUGUCUUUUGGCAACCUCAAACCGGUUGCAGAAUAAGUUCUGGGUAAGACCAGUGUCAGCCGCCAUGCGCGCAAAGUUUGCACGCGCGGCACGGUACGCGGUAAUACUGGCAGAGCAAGUGGUGCCCACGAAUAUUGGGUUUAAAGAGACCGUAGCUGGCCUGUUAAGUUCGCUGUGAAAUCUUGGGGCUCAACCUCAAGGAGUGCAGCAAAUACUGGCGGGCUUGAGAGCGGGGGAGGCCGGGAGUACUUACGGGGUAAGGGUAAAAUCUCGUAAUCCUGUAAGGACUACCAGUGGCGAAGGCGCCCGGCCAAAACGCGUCUGACAGUGAGGGUCGAAGGCUAGGAGAACGAAUCGGAUUAGAUGCGCGGAUUGACCAGUUUUUCGAGGGAGGUCAAUCGCGCUAAACACCCGAGUAGCCCUAGCAGUAAAUUAUGCAGAC
rnacentral:rRNA from 1 species